rnacentral:lncRNA from 7 species
AAAGAAGUCCUUUCAGCUUCACACCACAGGGAUCUGAACACAUGGAGAACUGCACAGAACCAUGAUCUUGGAGGCUCCCCAGGACAGUGUCUCAUGUGAAAGGGCACCAUGGGGCUGACUUGGACAGUUUUCUUUCAGUGUACAUCACGUUCUCCACACAAGAAAAUCUCCUUGCUUUUACAUCUCUGGGGAAGGCAGGCAUUGCCUAAAAAUCUACUGAUGAAAACUUUAUAUACAGUCUGGGUCAAACUGGAGUGUUUUGAUUCAGAUGUUUUGGAACUCUUCAUAGACAGGUGCUGCAACAGUUGGUCCAACCUACUGACCAAUAUACUGAUACUCAAAGAAAUUAAACAACAUCCCUGAAGACCUCAGCAUGCAGGAUCCCAGCAAAACAAGCCCUUGCUUUUCAGCAUCCUGCUCUAGCAAGCAGGUCGGUUGCUCUUACUUCUCUAUGAGAACCAAAACUCAUUUUUUUUCCCCAUAAAAUAACAAAAGUAAAUAAAAAGAAAACAACAAGAACAUCAAAUGAAAACAAGGGAUCACCACUUUCUGAGAGGUUUAGAAACACACUUUCAGUAUUUCUCAGCAUGUACCUAAGCAUAACCAUUGUUUCUGUCUCCAUUUUUAUUGCUCUAGGCAAUGGAAACUGUAGUUUCUAUAUUUAAUGUAUUGAAACUGCCUGGUCUCCAAGGUAGCAGGGGUAUCUAUAUACACCAGUCGAAUACAUUUCAGGCUCAAUCACUUUGAAAGCCUGGAUAAUAGAGGAGCACUUGUACUUUGGAUAACAAAGUUAUUUCCUUUAACAUCAACAAGCAGCUCAGUUAGGAACUGCAUCAGGCAUUGAUUUUGUUAGCCUGUUUGCAGGCACUGUUGGGGCCUUUUUAACUAGUAAAACUUAAAAAAAAAACAAAAAACAAACAAACAAAAAAAAACAAGAAGGUUUGCAGAUCAUUCUUCAUAUGCAUUUUUUCACAGAGCAGAGCUGACAGGAGGAGCUAUAUUAAUUUCACCAUUGCUGAUUUGAAUGUCAGGUGAACAUCUGUAGGACCAGUCCUGGAUCUGUCAAUUGCAGCCUCCUUGUUUUAAGACACACUGAAGCUCGAACUUACAUCUCAAGCCAAAUUUUAUACCUGGUUCCUAUUGGGAUUGUAAAUGUGCCUUCAAUUCCAGACUUGCAGCUUAGAUUCUGGACUAAGAGCCUCAACACACAACCAGAUUCGGAUGUGGGCUUCUUCCUGCUAUACUCAAGCCUAUUUAUUUCCAUUUCCUAUUUACUCAUUUAUCCUUACCUGAUGCUAAAUUAAAAGUAUCAUAAGCCACUCAUUAUGUAUUCCCAGAGUCACCGUAACCUGGCCAUCUGUUCUAUUGUUUUUAUUGUAAGAAAUGCUUGAUCUACAUUUUUUCCUUAUAUCACAUACUCUGGCUAGCAGCAGGAUUGCAGGACCCAGCACAUCCCUCCUCCCACUCCCCACCACGCAAUUCCUUUUAUCAGUAACGGGAACGAGGCACAUACAUGGAAAAGAAAGCAGAUUCCUUAGAGUAAACUUUCUGACAGAAGAGUUCGUAACAACUUUUCAAAAAAAAAAAAAAAAAAACAACCCACACGUCUCGUUUAUUUUCCCCUUUCUUCCUCCCAGCUUUAUGUCAGUCAUCAAUCGAACAGGAGACAACUCAUUUCAUUUCUGUGACACGCAAUGAUGGACUUGUGUUACAACCCCGACUUAUUUUGAGAACUUCAAUUUCUCAAGCUGAAAGUCUGAAUGUCCCAUGCUUGGAAGGGCUAUUGAUCUGAUGUAGAUGGACAGCUCAAGAGGAACUGAUACAUUCCUUACAGCAAUUUUUUUUGGACCACUACAUAAUGUAGACUUUCUGGUUGUUUGUUGACAUCUAAAAACUUUGAUUCUGUGAUUUCACUGAUACUCUUUUGCAGGUUUUACUCAAUAUUUCCCUGCGCUAUUUGAUGUAGG